AUGAGCUCCCCCGAGCAGGCCCUCCGACCGGCCGCCGCCCCUCGCUGUCUGCUAGGGUUGAGGUUGUCAGCCUUCUCCGCCGCGCCACCUUCCCUCCACCGGCAGAUCCGGUUCGGCUCCUCGGACGGCAAGGUGCUUGGCGAGGAGAAGGACGCCCGGAAGUUGACCCAGAUCCGGUUCGGCUCCUCCGGUGGCAAGGUGCUCUGUUGGCAAGUUGCCCCUGCUGAUCUCCUCCUCCUCUGCAAGGUGCUCUGGCAGCAAGGUGCCUCUGCUGGUCCCCUCCUCGUCUGCAACAACAACAGCAGCAACCAGUGCAAGGAAAGGAAGAGCUGCAGCGCCGCCCUCCUGGACGACGUCUGGUCCGCGAUCCUCUGCCGCCGCCGGUGCGCCGGCGCCAACGUGCCGUUGCGCAGCCUCCAGGUCGCCUUCGACAGCUGCAACGGAUGGGACCGCUGCCAUGUCGACCAGUGGCUCUCCUGCGUGCUGCGGCACAGCAGCCAGGAGCUGCACCUCGACCUGACCUUCCGCCUCGGCCCGAUCUGCCCACACGCCAAUGAUCGCGACAUGCUCGGGCGCGGCAGAGGGGGCGGCUGGUAUGACCUGCCGAGAAAUCUCCUCUGCUGCACCGCUAUACGCUCGCUGUGCCUCGCCUAUUGCACGCUGAAUCUACCGGAGGUCAUCAACCUACCAUCCCUCGAGACGCUGCGCCUGACCGGCGUGCGCUGCAGUUCCGAGGCCGGCGUCCAGCGGUUGAUCGCGAGCUGCCCCCGUCUGGUGGACCUGGCCCUAGAAGCCAACCUAGGGGUAGACAAAGUCUCUGUCCUCGAUAGACGCCUCCGCCGGUUCGCCCUUCGGUGCUGCCACGACGUGGACUCUGUUGACAUCGACGCCUCGGAGCUCAUGGCCCUGGACUACUGCGGCACGGUUCCCGCGGAGUCGCUCCUGUCUCUGCACGGCAUUCCGGCGAUCAUCCAGUCGUGCACGGUCGAUUUCUGCCGAGUCCUUUCCGGGGAGGCGGAGUUCGCCGGGUUCAAGAGGUUUAUGGAGAAAAUCUCCGGCGCGAAGCAGGUCCGUCUGCACCAUCGACGCCUUCCGGCGAGAUCCUUCGAGGGGUUCCCUUCGUUUCCAAACCUGACGCGGCUGGGGCUGCAAGGCCCCCUUCAGAGUCCCGACGUUGUGCGCCAGAUCCUGGAGCAAACGCCAAACCUGGAGAUCCUCUCGCUUUUCAUGGUUCCUGACGAGUUCAACACUCGUGAUGAGCCGACUCUGUCGAUUCCCGACGAGUUCAUUGCUCCUGAUGAGUCGAGCUUCUCCGAUAUCCCAUGCUUGCAGAACCGUGUGAGGGAGAUCAACAUGGUUCAUUACGAAGGUAACAAGCUGCAGAGCGCCAUGGCCAAGCUUUUGUUCCGGAACGCGCUGCUUCUUGAAAGGUACUGCGUCGUGCUCGUCAAGGGACCCUUCGCGUUGCAGGAUGGACUCAAGAAGGAGAUCCAAAGCUGGGUGGUGGCUGCCCAUGCAGAACCCAUUUUCCUGUGA
rnacentral:rRNA from 1 species